UGUUUUCCGACAAAUUUGCUCGCUCGGCCUCAAGCAAGGAUCAGUCGGGACCUAUUAGUGGUACAGCUAAGUGGCGAAGGAGCUUAGAAUGACUCUCGGAGGAGGAGUCUUCGUCUUGGCGCUCUUUGUUCAUCUGUCAUGGUCACCGUUGCUCGCGACCAAAAUAUCGGGAAAUUGUCCAUCAUUCGGUAGCUCUAUGACCCAGACGGAACUCCUGCAGGAAUUGGCGAACGAGUGCCGCUACGACAAGAUGGUCAGGCCGCCGGGGGUGAUGAACGCCACUGACCCAAUCAAAAUUUACACCAAAGCUUUCAUUUACACGAUCAAAUCUAACAUGGCGAAAACUCUGCAAUUCGACGUGCAUCUGAUGCUGCAAUUCCGAUACCUGGACAAGCGACUCAAGUUCUCGGACAUAGCCCCUUACUUGACGCAAAUAUACGGCGGACAAUCAGCUCAUGACUUGAUCUGGACCCCGACUGUGUACGUCGCGAACGAACGCACCUCGGCCGUGAUGGGGAGCGGUGUGAAAGAUCUGCUGAUCUCCAUCAACCCUCAAGGCAUGGUCAUGUUGAACACAAGGCUAGAAGCCACCAUGAAUUGCGGGCUUCGAUUGGAGAAGUUCCCGUUCGACGUGCAAGAGUGCCCGCUGGUCUUCGAGAGUUGGACCCACAACGUGAACGAGAUGGUGUUGGACUGGGAUGAGGAGCCAAUCGUCAUCGCGAGCAACUUAUACCUGACGGAGUACAAGCUCGUAGGCACGUGGGUCAACAGCUCCGGGAUAUCCUACACGCCGUCGCAAUAUCAUUACGGACAUUUCGCCGGCAAUUUUAGCUCGAUAAAUAUUACAUUUAAACUGGCUCGUGAAAUGGGAUUCUUCAUGAUGGAUUAUUACGUUCCGUCCAUACUAAUUGUGGUGAUCUCUUGGGUGUCCUUUUGGUUGCACGUGGACGCGAGCGCGCCACGAAUAGUCCUGGGAACGAACACUAUCCUGGCGUUCAUGACGCUCGCAUCGAAAGUGGAGAAUUCCUUACCGAAGGUCUCCUAUAUAAAGGCCAGCGAGAUUUGGUUCCUGGGCUGCACUAUAUUUUUAUUUGCAGCGAUGGUCGAGUUCGCCUUCGUUAACACCAUAUAUAGAAGGAAGAAGAACGUACCUCUGAAGAAGGUGAAUAGCAAGUACAUCCUGAAGUCGACUUUGACGCCACGUCUGGCGAGAAAGCAGUUCCAGAAGAAUACAAGCGGACUGGAAAGAUCACGAUCAUGGUCGUCGUUGGAUAACACAAACGGCAGCGAGCAGGACUUCAUAAGCCAGAAUUAUCUCACUGUACAUAGUUUUCCAAGCACCAUCAAUAUCCCCUCUGUGAGAAUAGAAGAGGAUAAGGAUCCUGACUGUUCCGUCGGCAGCAUCACGACCAUCGACAGCACCCCACCGCCCAAGUCGUUCGCACGCAGGCCGACUCUCGCUAAAUUACACAACUUCACGACAAUGACACCGCAGGAGAUCGCUCAGUGGAUCGACAAGCGUAGUAGAAUAGUGUUCCCUGUGUCCUUCAUCAUAUUCAACAUUCUUUAUUGGUCAUUCAUAUGGAUAUAAAAUCAUAUCUGCAAUGCGUAACUCGCGUGAACACGUCGCGCCGAAACUUCAACGACGAAGACAAUUCCUCAUAAGGAAGAUCGAGAGAACGAUUACGGUAGGGCGUGUUCGCCCGUGACUUUACGAGAAUGGAUAUUCGAGAAACUACUGUAAGAGACAGACUGAUGUGGAGGUCAUUUUUGGCCGUAUGAUGGAAGGGCGCUGGAUGGACGACACACGCUAUUUUCUUACAGUGAAAAUUCCCAUGCCACAUUACUAGUGUAAUUAAUCGACUGGUAAAGCGAUUUCACGCGGUCUUAAAAUAGCCGUCUUUACAUUCACGAAUCGCUUCUUUUUCUUCAAUCGCGGUACGCUUAUCGAAAGCGAGAGAAAGCUCACUGUUAUAUUAACUCACAUUACGUCAAUACAUAGAACUCUAUCAUAUAGUAUAAUGCAACCUUACACAUACGCACGUAUUUACGCGCAUCACCGUUUAAGUUUGGCAACACAUACGUACACGUACUCAUUGUUAUUUCCGCGAAGAUUCUGCCGAUGCAAUUAAUAAUCUAUAGCGCCUUGGUAUUCGGAGGUCAGAGGUAGCCACUCUUUUUCCAUCAUAUAAUACUUGUUUAAUAUUCUCCAAAUACCGAUCGGCGAUAUCUGAUCGGUUUAAUAUCCGAUCUUUACAUCGGAGAUACGGUUGGAAUUAACAUAAAUCGCACAAAUGAAAGCACAUAGAAUAGUUUAAUGUUAAAACAUGUAAGAUAAGAGUUAUCAUAGAUACGAGAACUCGAGAAAUUGGUUAUAUUCAAAAGGAAACUUCAAGUUGUCUGUAAAUGCUAAAAUUUUGCCAAAUUCAUUACUGUGUCUGUCGCUGUAUGACAGUGAAAGUUUCGCGCUGUAUGAGUCAUCAAUAAACAGGCCGUUCAUACUCUUA
rnacentral:misc_RNA from 1 species